UGAUAUUUACAAGACCGGGCCAAUCCAUCCGAGAGAGAGAGAGAGAGCAAGAGCGAUGGCGGUGAGACAGAGAGCAGUGGCAACGCUGCCUAACCUCAUUCGGAGCCUCCGAAAGGAGUGUGCAAAGCCCACGAGCCAAGCGCCGUUGCCGUCGCUGAGACGCGCUUUCUCUCUAUACGAUCAGAUCAAUCUCAUCGACAAUGUCCCCGAAGACCAGCUUCGCUUUCAACGGUAUACGGAGACAGGUUUCACCGUAAAUGGGGUGGAUUAUGAAGGUAGCUUGCUUUGCGUUGGGAACUUGCUAAUGUCUUGGGCUCCUAAGAAAUUCCCAGAGAUCACUCCAGAUAGCUUGUCUAUCUUCCGAACAGUGCGGCCAAUACCAGAGAUUUUGAUACUUGGAUGUGGGAGGCACAUUGAGCCAGUGGGUCCUGAACUUCGGCGCUUUGUUCGGUCUAUUGGCAUGAAGUUAGAAGUCCUUGAUUCGCUGAAUAAAAAUGAAGGAGAUAAAGGAAGAAAAGAGAGUAAUUUACCAUAUGAAGUGCACAACCUUUUUUCCUUGAAUUACCCGAGUUGCACUUGCGGGAAACUUCUUGUUGAUGGCCUAUACACCCCCGGGAUUAGAUGGGAUGUUGUUCCUGGACACCCGAUGCCAAUAAAAAAAAAAUGAAUAGCCACAGCCGCAAAGGGACUUCACAGAAGCAAAUCUGCAAACUGACAUGGUUUCAUAUGAUAUGUUAGAUCUACUUUACAAUAAAGUAGCUUUACAAUCCAAGAGAAAUGCUACAUCAACUUACAACAUACUAAAUGAGGAGGGUAGGAUUGUGGCUGCUGCACUUCUCCCAUAUGGAAUUUCUUCAUGAUCCACAUCCAGCAUUUGAUAUGCUUUUAAUUUUUUGGCUUAUACGAGUUGCAUUUCAAUUAACCUAUUGAUAAUGCUCUUGCCUUGUAACCAGUACCCGUUUGUGAUUUCUAAAGAAGAAAGACUUUUCUUUUAUGUAAAUAAGGUGAAUUUCCAAAAUGGAUGGAUUGGACAUACCUGCUGAUGUGUUUUUUUUUUUUCCCCUUUCUUCCCCUAUAAUAUGUGGUGUAAUGCCGCUGACUAACUCCAAGGAUUUAGCCUAAAUUAAUGUGGUUCGUUGGCAA